GAGAGGUUUUGCUAAGUUGCUUAGGGUCUCACUAAGUUGCUGAGGCUGGCCUCGAACUUGCAAUCUUACUGCUGCAGUCUCCUGAGUCACUGGGAUUACAGGUAGUUCCUUCAUUUCUGAGAAUCAGAAACAAGGACUUGCCUGGCUCUCUGGCUGACUGACCUCCACUGAGAUGGCAAGUGAAUACAGGACAUGGAAGGAGACAUGUAAGUAAAGAUUGGGAUGAGGCACUGGAAACAGAGGCUGCUGUGGAGGGAAGAAAGGGUGUUAUGGUUUGGAUGUGAGGUGUUCCCCAAAAGUUCAUGUUUGAGACAAUGCAAGAGGGUUUAUGGGGGAAAUGAUUAGAUUAUAAGAGCCUUAACAAAAUCAGUGAAGUAAUUCCUUAAUGGAGAUUAAUUGAGUGGUAACUGAAAGUAAGUAGGGUGUG
rnacentral:lncRNA from 1 species